AAUCUUUCAUUAUCGUGCCGCUGUGAAAUAAUAUUACCGACAUGACAGUAAAAGAUGAA
rnacentral:precursor_RNA from 1 species